CGGUGUGAUCAUACCAGCGUUAAUGCGUCGGAUCCCAUCAGAACUACACAGUUAAGCACGCUUGGGCUAGAGGAGUACUGGGAUGGUUGACCUCCCGGGAAGUCCUAGUGUUGCACCCU
rnacentral:rRNA from 1 species